GGGGCAUUAGCGCAGUUGGGAGCGCACGACACUGGCAGUGUCGGGGUCACGGGUUCGAGUCCCGUAUGCUCCACCA
rnacentral:tRNA from 1 species